ensembl:lncRNA
CUCAAUGGGGCUUUUAUUUUGAAAUUAUUGGAUUGGGUGGGGUGGGGCGGUGUAGAUAGAGGGAGGGAGGGUGAGAGGGUGAGGAAGGGAGGGGUGGUGAGGAAGAGAUAGAGGGAGAGAGAGAGGAGGAGAAAUGGACAGACAGACUGACUGACUGAGUGAUUAACAGUGAGAAGAGGUCAGGGGGGAGGGGGGGCGAGUGUCUUUAUCAUAUUGGUCUGUUGACAGAAAGCAUAGCUGCGUCAUGUGACUCCACUAAUCAGGUCAUAGGAGCAGCUGUGAGUCACAGACAGAGAUCCUGCAGCGUGUGAGCGAGUAACCACGACAACGACGCACCUGUGCUCAUUAACGAGCUGCUGCAAAAAGGCAGAGACAUGGCAGCAAGUUACACAGAAUCCACACC